UCCCGCCACAGGCACACAAAAAAGUGAAAAUCAUCACUUUCUUAAAACAUGGUUUCAAGGUUUUUGUGUCAGAGCCGCCAAGAACUAGAUAGUGCUGCAGAGGCCUCUUUUACUACAUUUUAAGAGGUUAUUUGGAUUUUCAAGCAUCUUUUUAGCUUGUUAAUAGCUGUUGGGUAUAGGCUUUUAUUGAUUUAUCAAGUUACAGCCAUUGUUCCUGCCUCUGAUGUUUACAAGAGGAGCUGGAAACAAGGCUGGCUUUGCAAAAAGCAGUGGGAGCUCGGAGCAGCCGAAGCUAAGAUACUAUUUUCUUAUAGGGACAAAGGAAAAGGAGGAAAACUUAUUUGCGGGGGAAAAAAGAAAGGACCAUGGGACUAUGAGUUGCAGUGAUUGUUUCUUCAGGGUACAGAAACAAAUUCAGCAAGUUCUUCUCACUUGCUAGGAAGAUCUGACAAACCAAACUCAGCUUGUGUUAGCUCUCAAACAGGAAAAGACAGAAAUCAAAUCAGAAACUUACAUAUUUUACAACCUUCCAACCACCUAUGUACAGUAAUUUUAUUUAUUAUUUUUUUUUAUUUCAUGAGAAGUCAAACUCAAGUUAAAGUCCUUUAGAAAGGCACCCAGCCCUGAUUUAGGUGUUUCUAGUACUAGAAAAUUUGUAGCACCCCAAUGUAACUGCAAGUUAAUUAGACAGUUUCAGCUUGUACCCUUUUUUUUUUUUUAAUUGGAUAGCUUAAAUUUCAAGUUAUCUUGCUACGCCUUUGUCCAGCUCAAUGAGAAACCCUAGGCUGUUUACUAUAUUCUCCUUUUUUGCUGUAAUCAUCUGAAAGAGGAGACUUAGAAAGUAAAAAAGCAGAAGACCAAUACCAACUUUAAGCAUAUUACCACAAGCUGUGUAUUGUAAGUAAAGCUGAUCUGCAGCCCUGUUGAACUUUCCUACCUUUUUUAAAAUAUCAGAGCAUUUUCUUCAUUGAAAAUUCAGCAAAAAUGAAUUAAAUGAAGAUAUGAACGUGAAGGAUACUGCAUCUCAAUGUAAACCCUUAAACGACGAAGUAAAGGGGCUGUCACUCACUUUAUGUUAAUCUUACAGCAUCUUUACUUCACAUCUUAAUUCAUACCAACUGUUACAGCUGCUUCCCAUGGAAACCAACUCCAUUACAGAUUGCACAGGGCCACCAAUGUCAGCCAUAUCCACAAAACAUAACUUUACAAAGUUCCGUUUGGGUCUAGUUUGAAUGCAGCAGCAUUUACACCACCAUGGAAGUCCACGGCAAAAAGAGACACUGGGUUUGAAGCAGAGAAAGACAAGUCGUAUUUGCUAAGUGGUCCAAAGGCACAGCUUCAUCAGUACCCUCAGCAUGCAGACACACUCAAUCAUCAAAGAACAGAGAGGAAGAACAGCAGCAGCACUUCAAUCUACUGCCUCUCACUGCCAAUGCGAUAAAUCAAGGAUGUUAUAGCAAGAUGGGGACACGUAGAAAAAGAGACUGCAUUAUCUGAGGAGAAGUUUCAAAACAAGUUUUAGAUGAACUAGACAUGAUGUACACAUAGCAGUAAAGCAAGAAAAUAAAAAAGGUAUCUCCCUCUUCUCCA
rnacentral:lncRNA from 1 species